ACAAAAAAGUCGAUUUGACAUUUAAUUGUAAAUUCAUUAAAUGGCAAUUGUAAUUAUGAUGCACUCCUUUUGCAUUCUCUCACAAAAGCUUUUGCAUUUCUGUUGAAAUAUAAAUGUGUUCCUUCGCAAUACUGCCGUUUAAUGCAAUUGUUUUUCAUUCCCUGAAAACUGUUGCAUUUGCACAAAUAUUUUUGCAUACCCUCGUAUUUUUGCACAUUAAAUUAUCUUGCAACAUCCAGCGUUAAACAAAUGUGAUGGCUCAUAUUGCUGUUUUUUUACUCUGAAUUUGGUAACUUAACCAUUAAAAAGUAUACAAAGAGAAAAACAUAAAACUGUGUGGCCGUAAAUCACAUCUUACCAUCCAUGCUUCACCCCCUCUGAUCUGAUAGCCGACUUCAUACUGCAAGUGACUCGACAGAGACGGAAGAGGAGCUUCCCAUCUCAAGCAUAACUUGUCUUUCUCCAAUGCUCCUCUCAGAUGACGUGGUGGGUUUGUUUUGACUAAAAAAA